UUUUGCCUACGGGAGGCAGCAGUAGGGAAUCUUCCACAAUGGGCGAAAGCCUGAUGGAGCAACGCCGCGUGGGUGAAGAAGGUCUUAGGAUCGUAAAACCCUGUUGUUAGAGAAGAAAGUGCGUGAGAGUAACUGUUCACGUUUCGACGGUAUCUAACCAGAAAGCAACGGCUAACUACGUGCCAGCAGCCGCGGUAAUACGUAGGUGGCAAGCGUUAUCCGGAUUUAUUGGGCGUAAAGGGAACGCAGGAGGUCUUUUA
rnacentral:rRNA from 1 species